rnacentral:rRNA from 1 species
GACGAACGCUGGCGGCGUGCUUAACACAUGCAAGUCGAACGGAAAGGCCCUGCUUGCAGGGUACUCGAGUGGCGAACGGGUGAGUAACACGUGGGUGAUCUGCCCUGCACUUCGGGAUAAGCCUGGGAAACUGGGUCUAAUACCGGAUAGGAGCCAUUUUUAGUGUGAUGGUUGGAAAGUUUUUUCGGUGUAGGAUGAGCUCGCGGCCUAUCAGCUUGUUGGUGGGGUAAUGGCCUACCAAGGCGGCGACGGGUAGCCGGCCUGAGAGGGUGGACGGCCACAUUGGGACUGAGAGACGGCCCAGACGCCUACGGGAGGCAGCAGUGGGGAAGAUUGCACAAUGGGCGCAAGCCUGAUGCAGCGACGCCGCGUGGGGGAUGACGGCCUUCGGGUUGUAAACUCCUUUCGCUAGGGACGAAGCUUUUUGUGACGGUACCUAGAGAAGAAGCACCGGCUAACUACGUG